GACGAACGCUGGCGGCGUGCCUAACACAUGCAAGUCGAACGGAGAUAUGAUUUCGGUUGUAUCUUAGUGGCGAACGGGUGAGUAACGCGUGAGCAACCUGACUCUUAGAGGGGGAUAACACUCGGAAACGGGUGCUAAUACCGCAUAAGACCACGACAUGGCAUCAUGACGAGGUCAAAGGAGCAAUCCGCUGAGAGAGGGGCUCGCGUCCCAUUAGAUAGAUGGCGGGGUAACGGCCCACCAUGUCGACGAUGGGUAGCCGAGCUGAGAGGCUGAUCGGCCACACUGGAACUGAGACACGGUUCAGACUCCUACGGGAGGCAGCAGUGGGGAAUAUUGGGCAAUGGGCGCAAGCCUGACCCAGCAACGCCGCGUGAGGGAAGAAGGCUUUCGGGUUGUAAACCUCUGUCCUUGGUGACGAAAAAAAUGACGGUAGCCAAGGAGGAAGCCCCGGCUAACUACGUGCCAGCCGCCGCUGUAACAC
rnacentral:rRNA from 1 species